rnacentral:rRNA from 1 species
AUGAACGCUGGCGGCGUGCCUAAUACAUGCAAGUCGAGCGAACAGAUGAGGAGCUUGCUCCUCUGACGUUAGCGGCGGACGGGUGAGUAACACGUGGAUAACCUACCUAUAAGACUGGGAUAACUUCGUGAAACCGGAGCUAAUACCGGAUAAUAUAUUGAACCGCAUGGUUCAAUAGUGAAAGACGGUUUUGCUGUCACUUAUAGAUGGAUCCGCGCCGCAUUAGCUAGUUGGUAAGGUAACGGCUUACCAAGGCGACGAUGCGUAGCCGACCUGAGAGGGUGAUCGGCCACACUGGAACUGAGACACGGUCCAGACUCCUACGGGAGGCAGCAGUAGGGAAUCUUCCGCAAUGGGCGAAAGCCUGACGGAGCAACGCCGCGUGAGUGAUGUAGGUCUUCGGAUCGUAAAACUCUGUUAUUAGGGAAGAACAAAUGUGUAAGUAACUAUGCACGUCUUGACGGUACCUAAUCAGAAAGCCACGGCUAACUACGUG